rnacentral:rRNA from 1 species
UACGGGGGGGGCAAGCGUUGUUCGGAAUUACUGGGCGUAAAGGGCUCGUAGGUGGCCAACUAAGUCAGACGUGAAAUCCCUCAGCUUAACCGGGGAACUGCGUCUGAUACUGGAUGGCUUGAGUUUGGGAGAGGGAUGCGGAAUUCCAGGUGUAGCGGUGAAAUGCGUAGAUAUCUGGAGGAACACCGGUGGCGAAGGCGGCAUCCUGGACCAACACUGACACUGAGGAGCGAAAGCCAGGGGAGCAAACGGG